UACAGAGGGGGCAAGCGUUGUUCGGAAUUACUGGGCGUAAAAGGGCGCGUAGGCGGCCCGCUAAGUCGAACGUGAAAUCCCUGGGCUUAACCCAGGAACUGCGUCCGAUACUGGCAGGCUUGAAUCCGGGAGAGGGAUGCGGAAUUCCAGGUGUAGCGGUGAAAUGCGCAGAUAUCGGGGAAGAACACCCCGUGGCGAAGGCGGCUCUCUGGGACGGUACUGACGCUGAGACGCGAAAA
rnacentral:rRNA from 1 species